rnacentral:rRNA from 1 species
UACGUAGGGUCCGAGCGUUGUCCGGAAUUAUUGGGCGUAAAGGGCUCGUAGGCGGUUUGUUGCGUCGGGAGUGAAAACUUACAGCUUAACUGUGAGCGUGCUUCCGAUACGGGCAGACUUGAGGUAUUCAGGGGAGAACGGAAUUCCUGGUGUAGCGGUGAAAUGCGCAGAUAUCGGGAGGAACACCGGUGGCGAAGGCGGUUCUCUGGGCCUUACCUGACGCUGAGGAGCGAAAGCGUGGGGAGCGAACAGG